GGAGCGGUGUCCGAGUGGUUUAAGGUAGCGGUCUUGAAAACCGUUGUGCCGUAAGGCACCGGGGGUUCGAAUCCCCCCUGCUCCG
rnacentral:tRNA from 1 species